CUGAAUAAAAGUUAUUUAUAAAAGUAUUUUAUAAAAGUAUUUAGAAAAGUUAUUUUAUAAAAGUAGCCGUAUUUUGUGUGUGUAUAUGACAGCAUCAUUCUGGUACCUCCAGCCACCAAAAAAUUAAUAAUAAUAAUUAUGAGGUAAAUAUAAAGAAAAUUUAAAAAGCACAUUUUCCCUCUUUUCUAUUUUGGCAAAUUUUGGUGUUUUCUUGAGAUAUUUCUUCUGUAUGUGUAAAAAUUAGGGUUUCCAUUUUAUUAGAAGAAAGCAAGGUAGACUGAUUUUCCAAUCGCAUUUAAACAAGUUUUCAAUCAGAUUGAAGCCAGCCAAGUCUCUCAAGCACUGGAUUUUAAAAAUCUUAUUUAAGAAAUGGUUAAAUUUUUAGUUUGCCAAUAACCAAAUAGGACUGAGGACUCAUAAGACAAAAUCCUCAUUAUCAAAUGCUCCUAGAUUGACAGACUCUUCUGUUGUGAUGUAAGAAGAGCAAGUGAUGUAUAUAGAAUGUUAUGGGAACUCUAUUUUUUUAAGAUUUUAUUUAUUUAUUCAUGAAAAACACACAGAGAGAAGAAAGAGACAGAGAGGCAGAGACACAAUCAGAGGUAGAAGCAAGCUCCAUGCAGGGAGCCUGGUGUGGGACUCGAUCCCAGGACUCCAGGAUCACACCCUGAGCUGAAGGCAGACGCUCAACAGCUGAGCCACCCAGGUGGCCCAUGGAAUGGGAAUUCUAAAGAAAGAAUCAUUUUAACCAGGAAACUGCAGGAUAUUAAAUUUCAGAGACACUUGCAGCCAGGAAAGGGAGAAAACCCUAGAGGAAACUGUGAUAUCUGCUGCAACGAUAUAAGCACAAGACAUUGCAAGAACACCUCAUUCUCCCAGGAAGGAUUUAUUAAAGGAUGGGAGACCUUAGCUCCUCGCCAGUUUGAUAGGGCAUGCCUCCUCCAACAAGAGAAGGAGAUGUGGAAAGAGUGGCCGGAACUGCUACCUUGGCAAAAGUCUUCUGAAAGAUAGGGGAAACCAAGAAGAUAGAUGUUCUUUUUUCAGACCUACGUGGCCUGUGAUGAUCAAAGGAGAGUAACUAUAGGUCUUUUGUCUUCUGGUAGCCAGGUAAUACAGGCUCCAUCACUUUUUGUGUGAAAUCAAACAAAACAAUGGGUGCAGAGGAAUGAUGGGGAGCUUUCCAGCUACCGUGAAGACUGAAGACAGAGCUGGCACCAGAAUGGGAAUAUGGAAUAGAGCUAGAGCCUCAAUAAGCACGACUGCCCCAAUACGGCCAUAACUCUCGGUAGCUCAGCCCUGUUGGUUUAAGACAAUUGGGGUUUUUCUGUUUUUCUUUAAAAUGGGGGUAUGACAAGACUUUAAGAUAAUCAGAGUGAUAGAAGCAAACAUCCUAAAUGAUGUUUUAUAUGUCCUUCAAGAUUCUCAUGUCCAACUGUGUCAGAUAUAUUUGUAUCAGGUUACCUCUCAGUAUGAUAUGUGUUAAUAAGCUCUAGAUAUAUGAUUGCAUGCUAGUCUUCUCAGGAAGCCAACGCAGUGAGACCUGCUCAUUUAUUUCACUUCUUCUAUCAUUGUGUUCUCUUUUCCUCGCAUUGAAACAUUGCUUGUAUUGGUCACUGGCAAAGGCAAUCUGCCUAACUAGAUGGGCCAGAAAUCUAAUCUGGUGUGACAAAUGAAAGAGACACAUAAUUGGCUAUGUAAUUCUAGGGUGGAACUGUUAUCAAUUUUAAGCAAUUGAUGUUCUCAGAAUAACAUUAUACACUGUGCAAGUGAUUACAAUUACUCUGGGGAAUCACUGAAUGUUAACUCUAAUCUUUUAGCGGGUUAUAAAAAUUAGCAGAAACUUUUGGUAACUGGUGUUGUACUCGCACAUGAUGACAGUCUGAGUUUAGCUUCUUUGGUACAAAAGGUCCUAAACAUAAAGCUGUUUUCAUCUUAUUGUGGAAAAUACCCAUCUUUAAACACAUCGUGACUGUUUGUUUUCCUGUAAGUGCGAAGACCAUUUACUUUAGAUCAUGUCAAAGUCUCUUGCCUGAAAUGCCUGCCAGGUGGGGGCACUUGCUUUGUUGACCUUCGCUUCUAUUAUCUCUACUUACUUUGUGCUCUAGUGAAACUUCAAAAACCACCGACAUUUUUCUUGCAAUUACUAUUGCUCAUACGCUUUUAUACUCAUCCUAAUUUACCAGAAAACCGAACCUUUCGAGGUAUGGAGAAACUGAAAUUAUAUAGCUGAAACUUUAGAGAAACUCUUAACUAGGCCAUAUACAGAGUUACAUAGUAAUCACUUCCUGGCUUGCAUCUAAGGAAAUGAUGAAAUUUAGCCCAAACUUGGAAAUGUCACUCUUAGCAAGAGACUGUGCUAUACUACUGUUUAUUUCUGGUCUUGCAUUCCUCUAGUAUGUCACAUGUGUCCUUCCUAAAGCUUCUCAGAAAGUUGGCUCAUUCUCCACUUCACUUAUUUUAGUAGGUUCUGUAUGAUUUGGCAGACAGAAAGACACAAAUGAGACAGUUCUCGAUAUGCCCACGUUCAUCAUGUGCUUACAAUUAAACUAUACUCUUCAGCAUAGAUGGAUUUGCAGAAAACAAAUUUCCACACAAUAUUCUGGAUAACUCUGAAGCUGCAACAUUUAAAAUAUCCAAGAGGCAUUAAUUCUUUAUUAUAUCUUAAAAUAGAAAAUAACAUUGCAACAGGACAUAAAAAGCUUCCAUGGCUAUGUAGGAUUCUUGAUGUAGCAGUGAUCAGAUAAUUUGAAAUAUCCUAAUAGAAUGAGAAUAACAAUAAUAAGGUAUAUUAAUACACACUGUUUUUAUCAGGCAGUGUGUUUUAUCAGGCAUCACAUACAUUAAAUUCUAAUCUUUUUAACAAACCCUACACACUUGAGAUCAUUAUCCACGUUUUAAGGAUUAGGAGUUUGAGACUCAGGUAAGUCUUUUGCCAAAGGCCACAUACAUGGUAACGAAAGGGCCAGGACUCAAAUCUAGUUUUGUUUCUUUCAAAACAUGUGCCUUUUAAAUGAUAGCACCAAGCUCAGCUUCACAGUAUUGGUUUGGUUAAAAAUUUUCUGUCACAAAAUACGUACAUCAUCAGAAAUACAUUGUCUUGAUUGAAAAAGAAAUGGUGGGGAUAUCAGGACCCCAAAGAAGGCAACAUAGAUAUUCUGUAUGUAUAUUUUACUCUAAUAAACCAGAGGUCUAAGUUCA
rnacentral:lncRNA from 12 species